GCCCAGAAAAAUCAUUUUUCUUUUCUGGGAAGGUGAACAUUUGUAGCAUUGAUUUCCCGGAUCUGGUAACAUGGCAAAAGAUGCUGGUCUAAUUGAAGCCAACGGAGAACUCAAGGUCUUCAUAGACCAGAACCUUAGUUCCGGAAAAGGCGUGGUGUCCCUCGUGGCCGUUCACCCCUCCACCGUCAACCCGCUCGGGAAACAGCUCUUGCCAAAAACCUUUGGACAGUCCAAUGUCAGCAUUGCCCAGCAAGUGGUGAUUGGUAUGCCUCAGAGACCUGCAGCGUCAAACACCCUGGUGGUAGGAAGCUCACACACCCCCAGCACUCACUUUGCCUCUCAGAACCAGCCUUCUGAUUCCUCACCUCGGUCUGCAGGGAAGCGCAACAGGAAAGGAGAGAAUUGCAAGGGCCUGCGGCAUUUCUCCAUGAAGGUCUGCGAGAAGGUGCAGAGGAAAGGGACCACUUCCUACAACGAAGUGGCGGACGAGCUGGUCGCGGAGUUCAGUGCUGCCGACAACCACAUCUUACCAAACGAGUCAGCUUAUGACCAGAAGAACAUAAGACGGCGCGUCUAUGAUGCCUUAAACGUGCUGAUGGCCAUGAACAUCAUCUCCAAGGAGAAGAAGGAGAUUAAGUGGAUUGGUCUGCCCACCAACUCGGCUCAGGAAUGUCAGAACUUAGAGGUGGAAAGACAGAGGAGACUUGAAAGAAUAAAGCAGAAACAGUCUCAACUUCAAGAACUUAUUCUACAGCAAAUUGCCUUCAAGAACCUGGUGCAGAGAAACCGGCACGCAGAGCAGCAGGCCAGCCGGCCGCCACCACCCAACUCGGUCAUCCACCUGCCCUUCAUCAUCGUCAACACCAGCAAGAAGACCGUCAUCGACUGCAGCAUCUCCAACGACAAACUCGAGUAUCUGUUUAAUUUUGACAACACAUUUGAAAUCCAAGGUGACAUAGAAGUGCUGAAGCGGAUGGGCAUGGCUUGCUGGCUGGAGUCCGGGAGCUGCUCUGCUGAAGACCUUAAAAUGGCCAGAAGUCUAGUCCCAAAGGCGCUGGAGCCGUAUGUGACAGAAAUGGCUCAGGGAACUGUUGGAGGCGUGUUCAUCACAGCGGCAGGUUCCACGUCUAAAGGCACGAGGUUCUCUGCCAGUGACCUGACCAACGGUGCAGAUGGGAUGCUGGCCACAAGCUCCAAGAGGUCUCAGUACAGCGGCUCCAGGGUGGAGACCCCGGUGUCCUACGUCGGGGAGGAGGACGAGGAGGAUGAUGACUUCAACGAGAAUGACAAGGACGACUGA